GAUAAGUCUUUUUUUCCUCUUGGACCUACAUUAAAACAUUUCUGUAAACAGUGUUGUAGUUAAAAUUCUCUCAUGGAAUGUCUUUGUAUAGCCUAUGCACUUACCCACUCUUUUGAGAAGUACUGAGUCAUAAUAAUGAAUGGUGCUUGUCUCAUCUAGAGAAUAUAUUUCCUUUGUCUGCUACUGAAAAAAAGGUGUUCCAUCAUAGUUAACUUUGAAAUUUACUAGAGGGUGUGAAAGAACAUCUCCUGUUGAGCCACAAUAAAUGAUCAGAAAAAUCAUCUUUGUUGUGUUUCUAUGUCUGAUUCCAGGCCAUCAUGCUUGUUUCUCUCCCAAGGGAUCAAGACCAACAUGGACUGUGAAGAGUGGAGUUGAGACUGUGUCACUCAGCUGAAAGCAAGGUUGUUUAGAGAAGAUGGAGCGGGCAGUUGAACUGUAAUCACCCUGAACAGAAAAGGUCUGAAGACAGCUGCUGUGGUCUUAUGAAGAAGAGGCUAGUUGCAUGGAGUUCAUGUUUGCAAUAAGUUGAAAUGAUUGACUUUCCUUUUCUAAGUUUAUUUUACAAGAAGCUACUAGGUUGGCUAGGAAUCUGUUUUAGCAGCUGAAAUAUAGGAAACAAAGACACAUUUAGAACUUCUGGAAAAUCCAUAAAUUAUCUGGACCAAAUACUUUAGUAGUUGACCAUUUCUAAAGAAAUAGAGAUAGCAUAAACAGUCCUCAGAAGGCUUGUUUCCAAAGCAGACAAUUGUAAAUGGAUUGGGGAUUUGUAUGCCUAAACAAAGAAGCAAGAACAAUGACUCUGUAUUUCCUGUAGUAAAUAUGUUCUAUUGGUCUCAUAAGUAGAGAUUAUGAGUUCUAAUAUUGAGAGAUGGAGUAAAUCUUUGCUUUAUAUUACAACAGUUUUUGGAUUGAACAUAUUCUCAGUAGGCUUUGAUAUUCCCAUCCUGCAGUUAAGUAAGUUUUAAAUGAUACGACCUUAUAUAUGAAUGUAUAGAUUCUAAUGUAUUGUGUGAAGAACAUACAGUAGAGACUGAGUACAAAGAUUAAUUGAAGUGAGAUAAGCAGGCCUUUUAUAUAAGAAAUAUUUUCAAGAAACAUCUGAAACAGGGCAGUUUGUAACAGCCAUAGUCUUCUUCAUGUUUUAUUAUGAUAACAGUAAACAUUCUGUUUUGUCAAUGCUAAUGAUCCUUAACUUUGGCUUGGGAUAUCCAAAUCACCUCUUGGUCUUUAAUUUCAAGCAAAAAUAAACAUGUCUUUGCAAGGCA
rnacentral:lncRNA from 1 species